rnacentral:lncRNA from 1 species
UUUUGAGUUUCAGAAAUGACAGCUUACUGAAUUCUGCCAAACUCGCAAGCAAAACUAUAGGUUCAUCCGUGCAUACACUCCUAGAGUCCAGUAACUUAUAAGUGCAUUCAAAUUUCAUUCUCCGGCUGAUUCAAAUUUGCAAUAUGUAAGGGGGCAGUUGAAGUAGAGUGUGUUCUGCCACGUGCUUCUUUAUUUGUUUGAUUCAAUUUGCAAUAUGUAGGGGCCAGUUGAAGGAGAGCGUGUGUUGCCACGUGCUUCUUCAUUUUUAGGACUUUGAAUUCGAAUAUCAAAAUACGAUGCAGAGAUAUCACUCAUUCACCAUGUCUCUUUGAUGAUAAUUUAGUAACCUGCUUCAUUUUAUUCAGUUAUUUUAGCGUAUGUUAUGUACAAUACUAAUUUAUUGAAAUUGACACACUCUUAACACAUGGUAAUAUGAAC